rnacentral:ribozyme from 1 species
UGGAGUUGCUCUGCAAUGGGAUGGGAUUCGAAGCCCCCUCGAGGGUUAAUACAGGCUCUACCAUCCAACUCCUAUUCCGACACGUCUUCGUCGUGCAGAGUGGUAACAUGUGUCACCACAUAUCCAAGCUUGGGUACACGGGCUUGA